CUGGGAGGACCAUCUCCUAAGGCUAAAUACUCUCUAGUGACCGAUAGUGAACCAGUACCGUGAGGGAAAGGUGAAAAGCACCCCGGAAGGGGAGUGAAAUAGAACCUGAAACCGUGUGCUUACAAGUAGUCAGAGCCCGUUAAUGGGUGAUGGCGUGCCUUUUGUAGAAUGAACCGGCGAGUUACGAUUUGAUGCAAGGUUAAGCAGUAAAUGUGGAGCCGUAGCGAAAGCGAGUCUGAAUAGGGCGUUUAGUAUUUGGUCGUAGACCCGAAACCAGGUGAUCUACCCUUGGUCAGGUUGAAGUUCAGGUAACACUGAAUGGAGGACCGAACCGACUUACGUUGAAAAGUGAGCGGAUGAACUGAGGGUAGCGGAGAAAUUCCAAUCGAACCUGGAGAUAGCUGGUUCUCUCCGAAAUAGCUUUAGGGCUAGCCUCAAGUGAUGAUUAUUGGAGGUAGAGCACUGUUUGGACGAGGGGCCCCUAUCGGGUUACCGAAUUCAGACAAACUCCGAAUGCCAAUUAAUUUAACUUGGGAGUCAGAACAUGGGUGAUAAGGUCCGUGUUCGAAAGGGAAACAGCCCAGACCACCAGCUAAGGUCCCAAAAUAUAUGUUAAGUGGAAAAGGAUGUGGCGUUGCCCAGACAACUAGGAUGUUGGCUUAGAAGCAGCCAUCAUUUAAAGAGUGCGUAAUAGCUCACUAGUCGAGUGACACUGCGCCGAAAAUGUACCGGGGCUAAACAUAUUACCGAAGCUGUGGAUUGUCCUUUGGACAAUGGUAGGAGAGCGUUCUAAGGGCGUUGAAGCAUGAUCGUAAGGACAUGUGGAGCGCUUAGAAGUGAGAAUGCCGGUGUGAGUAGCGAAAGACGGGUGAGAAUCCCGUCCACCGAUUGACUAAGGUUUCCAGAGGAAGGCUCGUCCGCUCUGGGUUAGUCGGGUCCUAAGCUGAGGCCGACAGGCGUAGGCGAUGGAUAACAGGUUGAUAUUCCUGUACCACCUAUAAUCGUUUUAAUCGAUGGGGGGACGCAGUAGGAUAGGCGAAGCGUGCGAUUGGAUUGCACGUCUAAGCAGUAAGGCUGAGUAUUAGGCAAAU
rnacentral:rRNA from 1 species